CGCGCAGGCGGUUUCUUAAGUCUGAUGUGAAAGCCCACGGCUCAACCGUGGAGGGUCAUUGGAAACUGGGAAACUUGAGUGCAGAAGAGGAAAGCGGAAUUCCACGUGUAGCGGUGAAAUGCGUAGAGAUGUGGAGGAACACCAGUGGCGAAGGCGGCUUUCUGGUCUGUAACUGACGCUGAGGCGCGAAAGCGUGGGGAGCAAACA
rnacentral:rRNA from 1 species